rnacentral:rRNA from 1 species
UCCUACGGGAGGCAGCAGUGGGGGAUAUUGCACAAUGGGGGGAACCCUGAUGCAGCGACGCCGCGUGGGCGAUGGAGCGCCUCGGCGCGUAAAGCCCUAUCAGCAGGGAAGAAGAUGACGGUACCUGACUAAGAAGCCCCGGCUAAAUACGUGCCAGCAGCCGCGGUAAUACGUAUGGGGCAAGCGUUAUCCGGAUUUACUGGGUUUAAAGGGUGCGCAGGCGGCAAUGCAAGCCAGGAGUGAAAGCCCGGGGCCCAACCCCGGGACUGCUCUUGGAACUGCAUGGCUGGAGUACAGGAGGGGCG